GAAUGGGUUUCCAGAGACCAAGCUUUUGUAGAAGAAAUUGGAAGCUCGGACUGGAAGUCGCUCGAGUCAGUUAAGAAGACACAAGUAGCACCUAUCAUCGAUGAAACUGAUGACUUGGGCUCAGAUUUCAAUGAUGCUGAGAUAUUCAAGGUAGAAAAAGAAGUGAGAGAUGAAGUUUAUUACACAAACACAUCAGAGAAGCUAUUUACGUGACAUCAAAUGAUUAACUAUGGUUGGUUUAAAGCUUCUUUCACAGCUUUUCUCAACUCUUAGGAAGCUGUUUGUAGUCAUAGCUUGUGAUUUAUAAUUCUUAGACUAUUUCCCUUUUAAAAGACGUUUGUAGUUCUUUCUUCUUCUUACUCCAUCAUCAUUCAGUGUCCUAUUAGGUUUCUCGAGUUUGGGUGUUACUGUCAGUUUAUGUUAGAUUUUAAAUUCGUUUGACAAAUACAGUGUCAGUGUUCUUGCUUAUAAUCUAAAAUGCCUAAUUUCUCUCAUA